GUUUGUGGAACUCUAAAAUAUUUAUAAUCAUCUUUCAAGUAGCAUAAAAAGUGGUGUAGUGGUUGAUCUUGAUGGUACCCGCUUAGUAAAAGACAGCAAAUACUAUGGCCAAUGUGCUUUCAUUGAAUGAAGUGAUGCUUUUGAAAAGAACUUCAAUAUUAGGUGUAUGUUGAGACCAUAUAAAUAUAUGUUACUUAAAGGGAGAUACAAACUUUUGUUGAGCUCAAAUAAGUUGAUUUGGUUUUAGGUGAAGACACCUCCUCGGAAAUGUGUACUUUCUGAAGUUUGAGGAGCUAACUAAGGAACCGAACAAUUGAAAAGGUUUCCUACCUGCUAU
rnacentral:lncRNA from 1 species